AUAUAUAUAUAUAUAUAUAUCAACAGUCGUUACAGUCCCAUUAGUUUUCUCUGCAGCCUCGUUUGAAUGUCGCCGAUGCGCCAUUUGUACGGAAUGGAGUAACGCUUUGAACACACCGACUGUGUUAUGCAUCACUGAUGCAUAACAUUUUGCGCAGCUAGGCAACUAUACUUGUGCAGGUACCUUUUGCAGAUGGUCGCAUGCGGUUGGACACAUGGAGGAGAGAAUUUUCAAUUUCGCAGUAUCCUCAAAACCGUGUCUUUUUGACACAACUGCUGACAGCUACAGGGACAAACACAAAAAAAUGCUGCUCGUUGACAAGUGUCCACAAUAGUAGGAUUGCCAGGUCAGUUUAGUAGUGAGCUUGUGCUAGAUGUGGCUAGUUAACCUAGCCAAUGAGGUGUGUAAGAAAGUCAAAUAAAUUAUGCUAGUUACUACCCCAGAACUUUACCAAACAAUCAUGUUUGAAAGAGUGAGUGUGUAUGCUAGAUUAAUAGCAAUGGUAGACACUACUGAUAAUUUGGUCAGAUAAGUGUGUGUGUGUAUGUGUACAGUAGGUGACCUGUCCAUGACAGCUAUAGUUAUGCUAGGUAAUGGUUUGGCUUAUCAUGUUCAUGUCUAUGUAGAAGAAGACUGUAGGAGGAAGUGGAGAGGACUCAGGGACAGGUAUCAGAGAGAGAGAGAGAGAGAAGGGCAGAGAAAGAGAAGAGGCCUGGGUCAGCAGCUUCAGGCCAGCAGCCUUGGCGCUUCUGCCACAUUCUUUCUUUUCUGGAUCCAUUUAUUGUGCCUAGGGCAACGAGUGACAAUUUUACAGGCAGACCCUCUACUACGUCAUCCACAAGUGGUCGCCACCGGUGCAUCAAGACCCUCAACGUCAUCUACAAGUGCGAGCAUCGCCUCCACCGGUGCAGCGAGACCCUCUACAACGUCUACAUAAUCUACGAGUAUGACCACCACCGGUGCAGCCAUGGAAGAUGAUGAAAUGGAUAAAGCACCUCUGGAUCUAGGACCACCUGAGAUUAAACCUCACGGAAGUGACCACUGAGGACCUCGUUGAACAGGAUGUGGCCGUGGAGAGAAACAGAGAGAGAAACGAAGAGGAACAACGUCACACCAGGCGUCAUCGGAGGUACCAGCCCCCAGAUCCACUCAACUCAUUCCAGCAGAGGCUCCUCCAAUCCGUCGAGAGGGAUGCAGCCCAACCUGAUGCUCACAGGAAGGAGGAUGAGGAGACCCUCUUUGCCAUGAGCCUGGUGCCAACACUGAAGAGGCUGCCUCAGCAAAGAAAAGCAGCAGUCAAGGUUAAAAUGUAUCAGCUGCUUUUCGAAGCCGAGUUCAAAUAAAUGGAGUCAAUUUAGCCGACCAGCUCACAGGAAGGACAGGAAGAGGAGAGGAAGGACAGGGAGAGGAGAGGAAGGACAGGAAGGACAGGAAGAGGAGUUGUCUGGGUGUUGUUUUGACCUCCCUCAUUGUACCUUUCUUUUCACACACGUCAGUUCCGUUUAAAUUCAGUCAAUUCAUGAAGUCAUUUGUUUAUAAAGUCUUACAUGCUGACCAGACACGUCGCGUGCGUUGCAAAAUAAAUUUAGAAAUCCAUGUUAUUCAAUUAUUGCACCCACACUGCUCACGCGCGCCAACGAACAUCUGCGACGCCAAGGGCUAAAAUAGAAGUAAUUCCUAUUUCUGACGCAGAUCGCGCUGCAAGUCCUGCCUCUCCCAUCUCCUCAUUGGUUUAUAGAAGCAGGUACCCACGUGCCAUCUCCUCAUUGGUUUAUAGAAGCAGGUACCCACGUGCAAUCUCCUCAUUGGUUAUACCCACGUGGGUGAUAGAAAGACGAACUGUUUUGCCAGUAGUCGUGGUAAUACAAUGAAAGUUUAGAUGCGAUCACCAUAUAAUUUAAACGAUGAAAAGGCCUGGAAGGAGGAGAGAUGACUAGAAACGAUUCGGUUGGCCGUUUUAUGUGUGGAUUAAUUGUCGGAGUAGUGCAUUUCAGGUAAAAUAACUCAAUGUUUAUAUCCCAGGACAAAUUAGCUAGCAACAGCAAGUUAGCUAAAUAGGACAAAUUACCGUUAGCUAGCAAGUGCAAGCUAACUAGCUAAUUUACCAUACAUGUUUAAUGCUUUUCGACCUGUCCCCAAAUUAAUGUCAUUUGUUCAGAGUUUGUUUUGAUAUUUUAACCUGCGUGUCGUGAUUGCGUUUGGUGUGGGGGGGCAAAAUACAUUUAUGCACGAUAGCGCACGCGCGCAGCCGGUUUGGGCAAGGUGUUAGGAUAGCAGUCAUUAUUAGUGUUACAUAGAUUUCUGAAUUGAAACUCAUACACCGGAGAAUUCACAGAUCAGAUGCUCUUGUUGGUCUCAUACGAGACUAAAGGUGAAUAUAUUUCUUUCAUUUAAAACCACUUGAAACCAGGGUGUUGAAACUGUUUGAAGUUUUGUUCCAUUAACUGGUCCAUGACGUCCAGCGGCCAUUUGUUUGUUUAGCUGUGUUAUGGCUACACAUUAUUUUAUUUUUUCCAUAGACACACACACCUCUUCUCCACUCCUCUGUACCACAGAUCUCCAGUGCCCUGCCCUCUCUCUCUUUAUGGCCAUGUCUGAAGUUCCCCUACUACUGUCUAGGUUUUAUGAGUAGUCCCUGUAUCGGUCUGCAGUUGUGCCAAAAAUACAUGCUCUUGUUGUUCUCUUACAGGCUACACAUUCAUAUUAUACUUUUUUUUACAUGCACAUACACCUCUUUCAAUAGUUCUAUUUUUAUUUUACAACACAUACCUGUCAUGUUCUUUCCUGUAGUUGAAUACUUAUUAAAUUAUGUUUUCAUAGUCAGUUGUAUAUUAAUAUCUCAUUUAGACUUAAUCUGCUUAUUUCUUCCCUACACCUUUGUAGAUCUAAGACAAGAUGAAAGUAAAAACACAUUCUCUUCCUGAA